UUGUGCGCUUGCGCAAUGACCGCCAAGACGGGCGCGUGCGCGCUGGUGUCUAGGGCGAUGGGCGGGGUGUGGACGCCUUCGCUAUGGCAGCCCGCGAUCUUUCUCAGUCUUGGGCUUCCUGACGCCUCCAGCAAGCGAGGUCUCUUGGGCCGGUUUCGCAGUCAUGUACCCACCGCCGCCGCCGGCGCCUCACCGGGACUUCAUCUCGGUGACGCUGAGCCUGGGCGAGAGCUACGACAACAGCAAGAGCCGGCGGCGGCGCUCAUGCUGGAGGAAAUGGAAGCAACUUUCAAGGUUACAGCGGAAUGUUAUUCUCUUCCUCCUGGGCUUUCUGAUUCUCUGUGGAUUCCUGUCUUAUCUCCAGGCGGCUGACCAGUGGAAAGCGCUGAGUGGCAGACCUGCAGAAGAACAGAAGGUGAAGCCAGAAGUCCCACCUGCCCUACCAGCGCCUCAGAAGGAAAGAGCUAAACCAGAAGAUUUUCCAGAUAUAGUCCCUCAGGUAUUUCCAGUAAAGGCUAUGUGGAGUUGUCACUGGGGUCUGUUCUGGAGCAUUGCAAGUAGGCAAGUAUUGCCCAGAGAGGCUGAAGGCUUUUCCACUAUCACACUCAACCUCACACUGGCUCAGUUGAGGCUGUCUGUAUAAAGUUGGGGAAAGAAGAAGCAGACACUUGCUUCAUUCUCUUGGCACACCACCGUGGUCCAGCUUCUAUGUUAGGUGAUGGCUUCCCACUCAUAAGGAAAGAGACCUUUCUCUUUUGAGGAACCACAGGAGCUGAUAGGAAGGGCUGAUGAGAAACGAGCAGCAAAUAGGAUUGGACAGUUGGCUU
rnacentral:lncRNA from 1 species